rnacentral:rRNA from 1 species
CAGUCGUACCUGCGGAUAAUCAGCUUUUUGAGUGUGAUUAUGUGGUUUAUGAGGAGUUUAACCGCCUUCAUGUAUUGCAUAUUUGUCCUUUUGGGGUGUACUUUUUCGUAUGGUAGGCCAACGUCAGUUUCGAUCACCGUAAAAUGAUCGGAGGAAUGUAGCUUCGAUCUCGUAUUGAAGUGUUAUAGCCUCUGGUAGAUGCGGUGACCGAAACUGAGGAUUGCAACGAAUACCCUUCUGGGCUAUCCGUCUGACCUCUGAAAGUUGCUUAGGUACCGAAAGCGUGCUUACGGUCAUUUAAGUUGACGGUCAACAGGUUAGAACGCGAUUACAUUCGUAAGGACGUUGGCGUAAUGG